GACGAACGCUGGCGGCGUGCUUAACACAUGCAAGUCGAGCGAUGAAGUACCUUCGGGUGUGAAUUAGCGGCGAACGGGUGAGGAACACGUGAAGAAUCUGCCUUCAACUCUGGGAUAACUCCGGGAAACCGGGGCUAAUACCGGAUAUGAGCCUUGAUCGCAUGAUCGGGGCUGGAAAGUUUUUCGGUUGAAGAUGACUUCGCGGCCUAUCAGCUUGUUGGUAAGGUAAUGGCUCACCAAGGCGACGACGGGUAGCCGGCCUGAGAGGGCGACCGGCCACACUGGGACUGAGACACGGCCCAGACUCCUACGGGAGGCAGCAGUGGGGAAUAUUGGGCAAUGGAGGAAACUCUGACCCAGCGACGCCGCGUGAGGGAUGAAGGCCUUCGGGUUGUAAACCUCUUUCAGUAGGGAAGAAGCGAAAGUGACGGUACCUACAGAAGAAGCACCGGCUAACUAUGUGCCAGCAGCCGCCGCAG
rnacentral:rRNA from 1 species